rnacentral:lncRNA from 1 species
UUGAAUUCAUACGUAGUAAUCCUAAUAGUAGGGAUAUUAAAAUGGGCACAGUAAUUCCUAAAUUCAUUCAGAUACUACAACCAAAAUCCAAAAUAAUAAAGUCAUGAUAAGAGUUAAUCUCAGACUGAAUAUCACUACUAACUUGAACAAAUUCGAACAAAAUCCAAUGGGGAAGGUUCUGUAUCUAAAUUAAAUAUGUACUAUAAUAGUCCAAAACCAAAUAUACGACAGAAAGAGUUCAACCCAGCUAAAACCAAAAUGACAACAUUAAAGUCCAAAUACAACCCCAAGAUGUACAAUCAACAGCAUGACUAAUAUUCAACCAGCUAAUAUUCAUCCAUAAAUGUCCAAAUCGAUUACAUAGCUUCAAAAUGCACUUCACUUGUUAAUGAGGUCCCUAAAGAAAGAUGGGGAGAUCAGCAACGACAGAAGAGUGCAAUUCAGCAAAUCAACACAGCAAAUUCAGCUUUCUUAGAACAUUUUCGAACCCAAAUGAACCAGAAAUACUUUGAAAGUUUUAAGCUAUUACUAAUAAUGAACCUGAAGAGUAAUUCCCAGCAACUUCUAACCCAAAAUGAUGCAGGAAACUUUUAGUGAUCAAGAAGAGAAACAUUCCAGCUGCGGAAGAAAAGAAGGAAAAAGGUCUUUAUAUUCGUAUUCCUAAGAUAGCCCUGACCUGACUAGCUAAUUAACCCUUUACCCCUUAUUUUCUUGGUCAUUUUACCCUUUUUACCCUUUCAAAAUAUCUGAAACCUCCCUCCUCUUAACAAACCAGCCCCUACCUUAUCCUCUAGAAGCUUCUUCCAGUAGAAAAUUUGACCCCCAAAUACCAACAACAACAACAACUACCCAGUAUGGUCCCACAAAGUGUGGUUUGGGGAGGGUAAUAUGUAGACGAGCCUUACCCCUACCCGAAAGGGUAGAGAGGCUGUUUNNN